UGGGGAAUAUUGGACAAUGGGCGCAAGCCUGAUCCAGCCAUGCCGCGUGAGUGACGAAGGUCUUCGGAUUGUAAAACUCUUUUGGCGGGGACGAUAAUGACGGUACCCGCAGAAUAAGCCCCGGCUAACUUCGUGCCAGCAGCCGCGGUAAUACGAAGGGGGCUAGCGUUGUUCGGAAUCACUGGGCGUAAAGCGCACGUAGGCGGAUGUGCCAGUCAGGGGUGAAAUCCCGGAGCUCAACUCCGGAACUGCCUCUGAUACUGCACGUCUUGAGUUCGAGAGAGGUGGGUGGAAUUCCUAGUGUAGAGGUGAAAUUCGUAGAUAUUAGGAAGAACACCGGUGGCGAAGGCGGCCCACUGGCUCGAUACUGACGCUGAGGUGCGAAAGCGUGGGGAGCAAACGGGAUUAGAUACCCAAGUAGUCCCUGAGCGGGCUGGCAAGGCGCAU
rnacentral:rRNA from 1 species